UUUGUUUUUAAAAUAAUCUGGUUAAAUAAAAUUAGAUGAAAUAUAAAUUCGCGAGUAGAGUCAGUGUUGGUACAUAUUCGUCAUGAUCCUGGGAUAGGAAGGUCAUCGUGCAAAAGAUCAACAAAGACUUGUUCAAUAAAAGAAGAAUCAUUUGUCAUCGUUCUGAGGCUGGAUGCUCAUCGUGCAAACGAUCAGCAAAGACUACAAUAAUCGAUGCAAUCAUGCGGUGUUUUGGAACUAUCGCAGAACUUCUUAAGUAAUAAUCAUUGCUUCUCAAGUCAAUUUCGAUCUACAUCGCAAAUGAGUAUUUUGGAACCACCAUAAAACUUCUUAAGUAGUAAGUGAACAUAUUCAAGUCGCUUUAGUAUUCCUUAUUGUAGUUGGGUUUAGGCCAAAGUAUAUAGAAAACUACAAAUGCUUUUUCUCUAUUAUCUCUCGUGAUAUACAAACUUACUCUCGUUCAUUUGCUUGACGUUCGAUGCUCGGUAAAACUGAAUUACUCUGCUCUGCUUUAAUUUACCUUACGCAUUUUAUAAUAUUUAAAUUUACAAUAUACGAUACAAAAUAUUGAAAUGU